rnacentral:rRNA from 1 species
CCUACGGGAGGCAGCAGUGAGGAAUAUUGGUCAAUGGGCGGAAGCCUGAACCAGCCAAGUAGCGUGCAGGAUGACGGCCCUACGGGUUGUAAACUGCUUUUAUACGGGAAUAACGCGCCUUACUUGUAGGGCUUUGCAUGUACCCUAUGAAUAAGGACCGGCUAAUUCAUUGCCAGCAGCCGCGGUAGUACGGAGGGUACGGGCGUUAUCCGGAUUUAUUGGGUGUAAAGGGAGCGUAGGCGGCAUGUCAAGCGUGCUGAGAAAUGUCCGGGCUCAACCCGUGCCUUGCAGCGCGAACUGGCGUGCUUGAGUCCGCGGAAGGCAGGCGGAAUUCGUAGUGUAGCGGUGAAAGGCGUAGAUAUGACGAAGAACCCCGAUUGCGAAGGCAGCCUGCUGCAGCGGAACUGACGCUGAUGCGCGAAAGCGCGGGUAUCGAACAGGAUUAGAUACCCCGGUAGUC